rnacentral:rRNA from 1 species
CCUACGGGGGGCAGCAGUGGGGGAUAUUGCACAAUGGGGGGAAGACUGAUGCAGCGACGCCGCGUGGGUGAAGGAGGGUUUCGGCGCGUAAAGUCCUAUUGGCAGGGAAGAAGGAGGACGGUACCUGACUAAGAAGACUCGGCCAACAACGUGCCAGCAGGCGCGGUAAUACGGAGGGGGCAAGGGUUAUCCGGAUUUACUGGGUGGAAAGGGGGCGCAGAUGGCGGGGCAAAGCAGGAGCGAAAGCGCGGGGCCCAACCCCGGGACUGCUCUUGGAACUGCGCGGCUGGAGUGCAGGAGGGGCGGGCGGAAUUCCUGGUGUAGCGGUGAAAUGCGUAGAUAUCAGGAGGAACACCGGUGGCGAAGGCGGCCUUCUGGACUGCGACUGACGUUGAGGCCCGAAAGCGUGGGGAGCAAACAGGAUUAGAUACCCUAGUAGUC